GAACUGCCAGGCUGGGAUCCAUCGUGCCUCCCCUGCCAAAGAGAAGCUGCAUCUUCUGCAGUCUCAUGGACUGGGCCACUGCGAGAUAUAAAGAAGAAUUGGCUCUAUUAGGUUUUGCUGCAAAUUUCCUGCCAGGCCACUGGAACUGGGACAGCUUGAAAUCAGGUUAAGAUCAUUCCAAUCCAACAACAACUUUUGGUGUCAAGGCCACAACAUCUGUAUAAAUAUGUGGUUGGUGCA
rnacentral:lncRNA from 1 species